ensembl:lncRNA
CUGAAGUACAAGCUCCUAGGGUGCAGAGAUUGCCUCUCACAGUCAUUCUCAAUUUCCUACAGAACCUGGCUGGUACCGUGGAAGUAAUAGCCUGGCUGGACCUUAGAGAUUCUUCUCAAACCAGAACUGCAGGAUAACCAUGCAAGGUAUUAUCUACAUUGGUUGGUUGGAGCGUGGCAUUGACGAGCUCACAGUCAGGGCUUCGGUUCCCUUCCCUCAGUCAAAAUCAGUCAGAGAAACACAGAGAAGGCUGUCCUGCAACCUCUGAUCCUGCUGUAAUUCUGUUACCUGUGCCACAUGGUCAGGUGUUCAUAAGGAUGUUUCUUCCUCCCGUGGAGACUCAGGAGACACCUAUUAGUCAGUCUGGAGCCUCCAGGUAUCUGAGUUGCUGCAGGAGGAGAAACACGAUGUCUCUCCUUUCGUGGAGAUUUGUUGCAUGUUUACCAAGGUGAAAGGAUUAGUGCCCGGGAGAUCAUUUGCUUUCAUAAGCUUUAAACUAGGGCGGUGAAAGUUUCAUGCCUUGAUUCUCUUCCAACAGCUCUCUCUCUCAGCAAGGCAGAGAGGAGCAAGCUGAGACCUACAGAUUGCCAGCAGACUUUUCCAACAAAAUUGCCCUGUCUCAAUCAG